rnacentral:rRNA from 1 species
GACAAACGCUGGCGGCGUGCCUAACACAUGCAAGUCGAGCGCGAAAGGGACCUUCGGGUCCCCUGAAAGCGGCGAACGGGUGAGUAACACGUGGGCAACCUGCCUCAAGGACUGGGAUAACGUCGGGAAACCGGCGCUAAUACCGGGCGAUGUCGUCUCGUAUAAGCGAGCCGACCAAAUGGUAGCUUCGGCCUCCGCCUUGAGAUGGGCCCGCGUCCUAUCAGCUUGUUGGUGAGGUAAUGGCUCACCAAGGCUACGAAGGGUAGCUGGUCUGAGAGGAUGAUCAGCCACACUGGGACUGAGAUACGGCCCAGACUCCUACGGGAGGCAGCAGUGGGGAAUCUUGCGCAAUGGGCGAAAGCCUGACGCAGCAACGCCGCGUGAGCGAAGAAGGCCUUCGGGUUGUAAAGCUCUGUCAGGGGGAAAGAAGGCACCUGGGUUAAUAGCCCAAGGGCUGACGGUACCCCCAAAGGAAGCCACGGCUAACUACGUGCCAGCAGCCGCGGUAA